rnacentral:rRNA from 1 species
CAGCAGCCGCGGUAAUACAGAGGGUGCAAGCGUUAAUCGGAUUUACUGGGCGUAAAGGGCGCGUAGGUGGUUAUGUAAGUGAGAUGUGAAAUCCCCGGGCUCAACCUGGGAACUGCAUCUUAUACUGCGUAGCUGGAGUGCAGUAGAGGGUAGUGGAAUUUCCGGUGUAGCGGUGAAAUGCGUAGAUAUCGGAAGGAACACCAGUGGCGAAGGCGGCUACCUGGACUGACACUGACAUUGAGGCGCGAAAGCGUGGGGAGCAAGCAGGAUUAGAUACCCCCGUAGUCCCUGUCUCUUAUAA